rnacentral:ncRNA from 1 species
UAGCAGAGGGCCAGUCUGGUGCCAGCAGCUGCGGUAAUUCCAGCUCUGCGAGUUUGCUCCCAUAUUGUUGCAGUUAAAACGCCCGUAGUCUGAAUUGGCCAGCAAUGGUCGUACGUAUUUUUACGUUCACUGUGAACAAAUCAGGACGCUUAGAGUAUGGCCACAUGAAUGACUCAGCGCAGUAUGAAGUCUUUGUUUUCUUCCGAAAACAAGCUCAAUGAGAGCCAUCGGGGGUAGAUCUAUCUCAUGACGAGUGGUGGAAUACUUUGACUCAUGAGAGAGAAGCUGAGGCGAAGGCGUCUACCUAGAGGGUUUCUGUCGAUCAAGGGCGAGAGUAGGAGAUCCAACAGGAUUAGAGA